rnacentral:rRNA from 1 species
AUUGAACGCUGGCGGCAGGCCUAACACAUGCAAGUCGAGCGAGCGGCGGACGGGUGAGUAAUGUCUGGGGACUGCCCGAUAGAGGGGGAUAACUACUGGAAACGGUAGCUAAUACCGCAUACUAUCGGAUAACCCAUAUGGGAUUAGCUAGUAGGUGGGGUAAUGGCGCACCUAGACGACGCUCCCUAGCUGGUCUGAGAGGAUGACCAGCCACACUGUGACUGAGACACAGCCCAGACUCCUACGGAGGCAGCAGUGGGGAAUAUUGCACAAAGUGCGCAAGCGUGAUGCGGCGCUGCCGCGUGUAUGAGGAAGACCCUAGGGUUUUAAAGUACUUUCAGUCGGGAGGCGUUUCCGCCAGAAGAGGCACCGGCGAACUCCGUGCCAGCAGCCGCGGUAAUAC